rnacentral:rRNA from 1 species
GUUGUGGUGCUAUGAGUUUUUAUUUUGUUUUUAUGUUGUUUUUUGUAAAAUGUUUUGAUUUUUUUUAGUUUCUUGUGGUAUCAAAAAUUUGUUUUUUGAACUGGAUUAGUACCCAGGUAAUCAAAAUUUAAUAAUUCGGGAGUAAAGUUUUGUUUAAACCGAAAAAAUAUUGACUGACUUUAGAUUUUUCUUUGGAAUAUGUGAUUUGCUGGAGAGCCCUCUUUUUUGGUGAAUUUUGUUGGCACAUGUAUGAUUGUUUAGUUUUUAUUUUAUUUUGUAAUGCUUUGUUGUUUUGGCAUUAAAAACAGAUAUAUAUUUGGCUUAUGAAUUUAUGUUUCAUGUGUUACUAUUAUGAAUUUUUUUUGGAUUAGUUUUUUAUUUUUUUUUGAAAUUGGAAAAGAAAGUAAUUUUUUCU